rnacentral:rRNA from 1 species
UGAGGAAUAUUGGUCAAUGGCCGAGAGGCUGAACCAGCCAAGUCGCGUGAGGGAAGACGGCCCUACGGGUUGUAAACCUCUUUUGUCGGGGAGCAAAGCGAACCACGUGUGGUUCAUUGAGAGUACCCGAAGAAAAGCAUCGGCUAACUCCGUGCCAA